rnacentral:rRNA from 1 species
UACGAAGGGGGCUAGCGUUGCUCGGAAUCACUGGGCGUAAAGGGUGCGUAGGCGGGUCUUUAAGUCAGGGGUGAAAUCCUGGAGCUCAACUCCAGAACUGCCUUUGAUACUGAGGAUCUUGAGUUCGGGAGAGGUGAGUGGAACUGCGAGUGUAGAGGUGAAAUUCGUAGAUAUUCGCAAGAACACCAGUGGCGAGGCGGCUCACUGGCCCGAUACUGACGCUGAGGCACGAAAGCGUGGGGAGCAAACAGG